UGAGGAUAAGAAGCCCAAUCUUCUGGUGGUGGAGAACAUCUUGGAGGUCCUGCUCCCCUGGACCGCAUCCAAGGAGGUGCAUGGGUGGCUGAGGGCAGUGGAAAGGAUCACCUGCCUGAUGAAAUUCAUGGCUUGUCAACAUAAAUGCAAGGGAGCGGAGGAGUUCAGAGUCCUGGGCCAGCUGGUGGGGUGUGUCACUCUGUGCCAUCUGGAGCAGGAGAUCUGCCGAUCGUCUAUGGAGGCAUUUUACUACCUCUGCUCCUUCAUGCUGCAGCUAAAAUGUAAGAGCCCUGGAGACCCUUGUCCUUCCUAAAUACACUGACAUGGGGUUUCCAAACACGGAAAACAUAUUUCUUGAACACUUCUGCCUUUUCUGCAACCUUUUAAGCAGUCUCCAUCUAGUAAUGAGCCUACACCACUGCUAAGAUUUCUUUUGUUCCUAAAUCACUUUUUUUAAAAAACCUCCUUAUUAUCCUUAGUCCUGCAAGCCAUGGAGUUUCCCCUGAUGUCUUUAGCUUCCCCUAUCUAUAUUCUACUCUUCAUAACUCACAUAAGAAUGGACAUACU